UUACUGUAUGGAGCGAGGUUAAGCAGGAUAUGCGGAGCCGAAGCGAAAGCGAGUCUUAAGAGGGCGAGAGUUGCAUGCAGUAGACCCGAAACCGGGUGAUCUAGCCAUGACCAGGUUGAAGUUGGGGUAAAACCCGAUGGAGGACCGAACCGACCCCCGUUGAAACGUUGGCGGAUGAGUUGUGGCUAGGGGUGAAAUUCCAAUCGAACCCGGAGAUAGCUGGUUCUCCCCGAAAUAGCUUUAGGGCUAGCGUCGAGGUAAGUUGCGUGAAGGUAGAGCACUGAAUAUGUGAUGGCCCCAUCUCGGGGUACUGAGCAUAAUCAAACUGCGAAUGUCACGAUAACAUGCUCGGCAGUCAGACAGCGGGUGAUAAGGUCCGUUGUCAAGAGGGAAACAGCCCAGACCAUCAGCUAAGGUCCCAAAAUGUAUGCUAAGUGGAAAAGGAUGUGGAGAUGUACAGACAACUAGGAGGUUGGCUCAGAAGCAGCCAUCCUUUAAAGAGUGCGUAACAGCUCACUAGUCGAAUGACUCUGCGCCGAUAAUUUACCGGGGCUAAGCAUACUACCGAAGCUAUGGAUCCCAAGGGAUGGUAGGGGAGCGUUCCAUGAACGGAGAAGUACGACCGAAAGGACGUGUGGAGAUCAUGGAAGAGAGAAUGCCGGUGUGAGUAGCGGAACGUGGGUGAGAAUCCCACGCACCGAAAACCCAAGGUUUCCAGAGGAAGGUUCGUCCGCUCUGGGUAAGUCGGGACCUAAGGCGAGGCCGAAAGGCGUAGUCGAUGGACAACAGGUAGAGAUUCCUGUACCCGUAUAUAUGUGAAGGAAUGACGGAGAGAGGAAGCUGCAGCCAGCGGCUGGAAGAGCUGGUGCAAGCGAGAUAUCGGGAUGGCAGGCAAAUCCACCAUCCGAAACGAGAAGGCGUGAAGCGUACGGAAAGCUACGGCGAGUACGGAAGGCAGUGGAGGAACUUCCAAGAAAAGUUUCUAACGUUAAGUAUAUAUGGCCCGUACCGAAAAUGGACACACAUGGGUGAGGAGAGAAUCCUAAGGUGAGCGAGAGAACUAUAGCUAAGGAACUCUGCAAAAUGACUCCGUAACUUAGGGAGAAGGAGUGCUCAUAGAGAUAUGAGCCGCAGUGAAACGGCCCAAGCGACUGUUUACCAAAAACACAGCUCUCUGCUAAGCCGCAAGGCGAAGUAUAGGGGGUGACGCCUGCCCGGUGCUGGAAGGUUAAGGGGAGGGGUUAACGCAAGUGAAGCCCUGAACUGAAGCCCCAGUAAACGGCGGCCGUAACUAUAACGGUCCUAAGGUAGCGAAAUUCCUUGUCAGGUAAGUUCUGACCCGCACGAAAGGCGUAACGAUUUGGGCGCUGUCUCAGCUGUAGACUCGGUGAAGUCUUAGUACCUGUGAAGAUGCAGGUUACCCGCGACUAGACGGAAAGACCCCAUGGAGCUUCACUGCAGGUUGAUAUUGGGAUUUGAUGCAGCAUGUACAGGAUAGGUAGGAGGCAAAGAGAUGGAUACGCCAGUAUUCAAGGAGCCGCUGUUGGGAUACUACCCCUGUUGUAUUGGAUUUCUAACCGGACGACGUAGAGCCGUUGACGGGACAGUGUCAGUCGGGCAGUUUGACUGGGGCGGUCGCCUCCCAAAGAGUAACGGAGGCGCCCAAAGAUACCCUCAGCUUGGAUGGAAACCAAGCGCAGAG
rnacentral:rRNA from 1 species